CUCUGGCUGAGGCUUAGUAGUGAUAUUUACAUCUUCAGAAAGUUUUGCCAUCAUGAGAGUAGAAAAAAAAAUUCCUUCCCUAUGGCGUUCUGUCUUCCUCUGAGGUGGGGUCACUAGAUGCACAAUUUUGAUUUUCAGCUUAAAAGGUCCUGUUGCUUUGUGGCUGGCUGAGUAAUCCUCAGUCACACAGACCUAUUGUCCCACUUGAACUCACUAUAAAUGGAGAGUAAGCUCCUUCCAUGAGCUCCUUAAUUUCCACGGAGGCUGAAACAACUCCCUGGCAACUGUGGUCCAGCUUUGCAUCCAUGCAGGGGAAUUUGCAAGGCCGGUCCCCACCCCCACCCCAGGCACACAAAAAAGCUUCUAUUUUUUUUCAGAGAUUACAUGGUGGGCAGAGAAAGAGCAGCUGAAACACGUGACGGGUGACACGGUGUGAAUAGCUGUGCUGCGCCGGCACUCUGGAGUGGGAGGAGAAAGGCAUAGCCUAGGAGUCAGCGGUGGAAGAGAAAGCUUAUUGGCUCAGAUUGAGGAAGACAUCUAAGUCAAUGGAGAAAACACCACUAACGGCUGAGGUCUGGAGGUCAGAAGGCCAAAAAAUGGGUCUCGCUGAGCUACAAUCAAGGUGUCAUCAGGCUGUGUCCUUUCCUGGAGGUUCUAGAAGAGAAUCGUAUCCUUGCUCUUUUCCCACUUCCAGAGGCUGCCACAUUCCUUGACUUGUGGCUCCUCCGUCUGUCUUCAAAGCCAGAGACAGAUGGUGAAUGGAGUCCUUUCACAUGGCUCACUCUGCCCUUGCUCCUGUCGUCACAUUCCCUUCUUUGUCUAACUUUUCUGCCUCCUUUCUCCACUCUUGUCAUUACCUUGGGCCCAUCUGAAAAUCCAGAAUCAUCCCCCAAAUUAAAGUCAGUGGACUAGCAACUUUAAUUCCACCUGCAACCUUAUUUCCCUUCCACCAUGAGCCUAACCUCACCACGAGUGUCAGGGAUUUGCACAUGGACAUCUUCGGGAACCCCUUCAUGAGUGGUUGGGGGGAUGUGGCCAGAAAGACGGCAGCAGCAGGAUGCGAGGGAACUCUGCAGCUGCGCUGAGGCAUCUGAGAGCCAAG
rnacentral:lncRNA from 13 species